GGGUCCAUGGUGUAACGGAUAGCACGGCGGGCUUCGGACCCGCAGAUGGAGGUUCGAAUCCUCCUGGACCCA
rnacentral:tRNA from 1 species